AAUCACACUGAUUGCUUGAUAUUGCUUCCUGUUCAAACACAGUCUUCAUCCAUCCCUGGGCCUACGUGUUACCCUCUCCCUAUAGCACACUAAUGGAGAUGAGGAGUGAGGCUGAUGGGUGGUAAUACAAUGUACAUAAUGACGUAUUCAGGAGAGGAGAAAGAGAUGCAAGUUAAGCUACAAAGAAAAAAUAGAAGAACCAGGAAAAAUAUCAACAGACAUAUUGUGACUCCGGGGUUUCUGCAUUUCUGACUGUUGCCUUAAUGCUAAGGCAGAGAGGACACAUCGACACUGGAAGCUAGUUUGUGCAACUUGUUCAAGGUAUUACCUCUGCCGCCCAGCUAGCAGAGGCUGCAUGAGCGUUCCUAUGCAGCGCUGGCAUCUGCCCUCCUGCCUAUGCCUUGUCUUCACAACCCUGAGCACAUCUGGAAGUUAGCACCCCACCAGAUACAUCAGGACAGGCUCAGCACUGAUGGUUACUGAUAGCUAACAGUGUGCCUGCAUAACAGCCCUGUGGAGGAGAAGCAGAGCACCCUGUGCAACUGGCAGAACAGUAUGAACAGAGUCAGCAGGUUGCUUAGAUUUUAAACAUGUUUAUUCUACAGGAUGAGACACGUACCAGCAGAAGUCAAACCAUUCCUGAUUCCUUGGAGCCAAAUCUGAAGUUGAACUCUCCUCAGGAAGAAUUCAUACUCAUGUACAAAGUCCUGCCUCUUCUUGUAUUUCCAUGGUUCCUGGAAAUGAGUUCAUAAUCCAUAUUUAGUAUCUGGGAUGUGGGAAAAGGUUGUAGGCAUAUGGUUUCUAUUUCACUAGCACCAGAGACAGGGUCUUCUCCGUGAAGUGAAGAAAGAACCAGCUGCUGUACUUCAGACUGUAUGUUAACCUCACCUAACUUUUAGCUGCUGAGGGUUGGGGAAGAUGAAUUCCAACCACUGUGGCUGAGAACAUACCAUCUUAUGCCAACAACCAAGCAGGGAUCCAUCUUAUGACUUGCUGAUGUAAGAACGGAGCAGAGUCUGUGCCACAUGUGAAGCUGAUUCCAGGGUCCUUGGUUUACACCUCGUGCAGAGCUUUCUAUAAAAUACAUGUCUCCUUAUCACUGAGUGAAAAGUGAGUUUUGUUUCACAGAAUCAUUUCAUCAGUGUUUUUCUAGUGACAUAACAGGGAAAAGCUUUAAAAUUAAAGUUCUUAUUAAAAACAUAACAUUGAAAAAACUUCUAGUCAAAAUCCCAGAUCCUCAGAGUCACUUCUCAUUACCAUCUCAGUCAAAAUAGACACUGGUUCAAAGUUCAGAAAUUCAUUGUGACUGGAAUUCACUUGGCAAGUCAAGACUUGUCUCCAACAUUUUUCAGAGGUUUGAAAGAUUUUAUUCCAACAGAUAUUUUCCUCCAUUGCCCAUUAUUUGAAGGUACCCAAACUAGCAAUAUUUUUAAAAUGUCUGUUUUCAGCAGUAGGUGGCACUAUGAAGUUUCUAUCUUCAUAAUUAUUCUAAUAUAAAAUAAUGUAAAAUGUUAUGCAGAUACAUUGGAACGUCAUCAAAAUGUUAAUAGUCCAUUAUCUGAAAACAUGGCCAGAUCUUUCAGUUUUCCUAUAAUUUUAAAAAGAGCAUGAAAAUAUUUUAGCAUAAAUUCCAAUAAUAAAAUGAAUGUUUCUCUAAACAUUACAAUUGACAAAAAGUUUAAUGUGAGAACAGGAAUAAUGAGAUGUCUAAUAUAAAAAUAGCAAACCAAUAAAAUUUAAAAUUGCAGGUGACAUAAGAAGCUCUCUAUACUCUUUGUUACUCUUACAUAAAGUACCAUCGUGGGCUGUUCUUGAAUAUACUACUUCAGCUACUUAAAAUUCCCUGGAAAUUAUAUCUAUCUCAUUUGCAUAUAAACUGUAAUAUUACAACAGUGGGUGUUAAUGUAUGUAUACUCUUUAUGUAAAUUUGACAAGGUAAAUGACGUAUACUAACAGGGAUACAGCAAAUAGAAAAGCAUUUAGAUUUUUCUGUGCUUGGCCAAAAAUUUGUAUUUACAAGCGGAGACCAAAGCACUACAUGUGGGCCUAUAUUCCUCUAUGUAUACUAUAUGGAGAUGUUAACUAUAUCCCAAAUAAACUCCAGGAUUAGAAAGA